UCUUGAUUUGUCCCUCUUUUACUUGCAUGCUAUUCUUUUUUAAUGGUUUUACACUCAUUAUGUAACAAAAAAUGUAGAGGUUGGAUAUAUAUUUGCUAUGCAUUAUUGAAGCGCUGCAGUGCAUAAAUAUCUUUCCAUGUAUUUGGUGAACAGAAAUGGAACCGCCACCUUCACAACAGAACAUCACGAGCGAGUGGUCGAUGGACUGCCAAUGCUGCUCCAAAGGGGCUGACCUUCACCUCCCCGUGUCCCUGAACAAGAUGGACCAACGAGUUGUGACCAUGUCCUCUGCGAGAAGUGCAUCAAGGUGGCCAUCAAAUUGUCGCUGCUACUACUGCUCGACCUGUGCUCUGAACGGGGCUGACACCGCGUGCUGCUUGCCAUUGGAGCAGGCCAUGGAGCUUCUGCUUGCCAUGCGUGCCUCCUUCCUUCGGCAGAAGCACCAGGUCGCCACUGGAGCCGGACAAGGUCAUGAUGACUUGCCUUACCUGGUGAGGUAUUGGCUAGGAAGAGUGCAAGCCGCCACCACCAUGUACCAGAUGGCGCCAUCAAGGACAUCAUACUGCUGAUGAUCUACAGCUUAACUACAGAAAGUUGAAAUGUGCCUAGCUCGAACCCAUUUGUCACUCAAGCGUCUUCCUUUCUACUUCAUAUAUGGGUCUGCUUCUAUCUUUGCCUGUGUUGCUGAAGAUAGAAUGGAUCUUCUUAGGGCUGCGAUUAUUGGCCCUAAGGGAACACCCUACCAUGAUGGCCUCUUCUUCUUUGAUGCACAUUUUACCUCUAAUUAUCCUUCUGAGCCUC